GAACUCCUAGAAUGGUUAGGAUGUCGCCUUUACACGGCGAAGGUCCCCGGUUCAAAUCCGGGCGUGCCCA
rnacentral:tRNA from 1 species